CAAAUACAUUUUUCAUUUUUCUCUUGUUAUCAAUAUAUAUACAGUAAAAUCCCUCUUAUCUGGCAUCAACGGGACCGCCGACAUGUCAGAUACUUGAAUAUUGCCGGAUACUUGAAUAGAAGUGAAAUUAUGUCCACAAUGACCAGCAUCUUACACACUCACGCAUCUUACCAUAACAGAGAUCAGCUGAUCUUAAUCAGCAGCUGAUCUGAUCAGCUGCUUAAGUGUAAGCACAACACACUCCCUCUUUUGUACAACUUGAGGCAUGAUGAAGGCGUCAGGUGAUAAACAGUGCACACGCGGGACUGAGUCACUCGGUAAACACAGUGCAGGCGGGCCGCGGGUGGCGCCAAGCAGUGCGCUCUGGUGGCCAGGGGACAGAGUAUGCCUUGUGCGGGAAUUUUAAUCGAUUUUAUCUACGCACGGGGUGACAAUGGGUACGGUCAGCUUGGCGUCAACUCCUGCGACAGUCACACCGCCACACGCAAGCUUGUCAAGAGUCUGGCCAGGAAGGUGACAGUGCAGCUGGCCUGUGGCGCCAACCACACCCUUGCCUUGACUGCUGAUGGUGACAAAAUACCUUCGGCCAGUUGGCACUUAGACACCGACAGGGGCCCCAGAAGGAUCCUGCCCUGGUGACCUCCUUGGCUGGCACCCUCUUAGUCCUGCUGGCCGCUGCGGGUCACCACUCUGCUGCCGUGACCCAGGCCGGCUACCUGCUGUUGUGGGGGUCAAACAAGCAGGGUCAACUGGGCUAUACUCCCAAGGGUGAUCCUCUUGUUAGAUCUUCGCAGGGGGUGACGUCAGCUUGGCCACUGUCAGCAGGGAGAGUGGGGGUGCUGAGGACUUUUGCAGCCCUCCCCUACCCCGACCAAAUGCCCUCUCUCUCACAAUUCAAGAACAUAUUAUUAAGAAACUUCUGUCAAUUGAGGAAGAAGACAUGAUUGAUGACGAUUUGUUUACGUACACAGAGACAGUGUUUGCCUCAGUGUGCGCUUGGAACAGCUCCCUCACGCUUGCUGGCUUGCACAAACACACACACGGGCUGGACUACCGUUUGGCUGAGGACUGUGUGGCUCAGAUUGGCCGGAUUGCAAGGGAGACCAUCCAGGAAGUGGCGAGUGCGUGCGUUUGUGUGCGUUUCACUGCAUUUUACUGAAGGUUUCCCAGGACAAAACAGGACAAACCGACCUGCUGGCAUUUCACACGCAGAAUCUCACAAGCGUCCACUGAUCCAUUACCGAGCUAAUCCAAACGUAUCCAAACGUCCACAGGUUCGUACUGGCAUUCAAAACGUGGCCAAGAGUCUUCCUUCGCAUCCCCCCAGCCAGGACGCCUUACGCUGUUAUGUCCUUCCCCUGUACAAGGACUUCACUGACCCUAAACAAACGGCCAAACUCCAAACGCCGUAUGCUGAGGGAGUGUUGAAGCUUGACAAGGAGAUGGCGGAGGUGUUCAGGACUUUCCACUAAGGCUGGUUACUGUGUACAAGAAUGUGGUGGUACAAAUACUGAAUUUUGCUCACCAAUCUAGCUCUGAGAGACCGGCGUGCCCUCGUGUCUUCCCUGCGGCUGUUGUCCCUGGUCCACGGUCUGAACUUCCAAGCCGGCUGCCGAGUGGGGCGGUUGAACUACGACGACUUUUACAUCCCAGAAAUUGCUAUUAGAAAAUUGAUAUUAGGAAUGAUUACUUGAACUGGAUGAACAGCAGGCUUCACCCGAUGUCCAGGAGGGAGAGUCCAAUCCUGUUCUGUGAGUAUUCAUUCUUGUUCGAUCCUCAGGCCAAGACGCUGCUGCUCAGGUGUGACGCCACUCGGCAGGGCGAAUGUUUCCCAGACCACCCGGUCAUACGCACGUUCUGGGAAGUAUUUCACAAACUCUCCCUGGAGCAGAAGAAGUUGUUUUUGAAGUUCCUGACGGGCACUGACAGGGUUCCUAUUCUGGGCAUGAAGGCACUCAAGUUGAUGAUCCAAAGCACAGCAGACGACAGCUUCCUUCCGGUCGCACACACCUGCAUCACCCAACUCGACCUGCCAAGAUACAACACCAAAGAGAAGCUGAAAUACAAACUUCUACAGGCCGUACAGCAGAGUGAAGGGUUCGGCCUGGUGUGAGGGUGUCAGGGGGUGUUGACGGGGUGUGAGGGGGUGUUGAAGGGUGUGAGGGGGUCAGGGGGAGGCUGUGUGAGUUGGAUAAGAGUGACCUUGUGUGUGGGAGGAAGUGCCUGUUAAGAAAAUAGAAUAUAUAGAAAUUAAUAGAAAAUAUAUGUAAUAGUUUACAGAAUUAUUAUUAUUAUUAUUAUUAUUAUUAUUAUUAUCAAAUUGAGUAUAUUUUUUAGUCUUGUUACAAAAAAAAAUGAGUGAAAUAAAGAAAAUGAAAAAGGUAA